CAUAUCACGUUGAAAAACACCGGUUCUCGUACGAUCACUGAAGUUAAGCAAUAUCGAUCCUGGUCAUUACCUAAAUGGGUGACCGCUUGAGAAUAACUGGUAU